UACUCUUAAUUUGUUUGCUUUAUAUUCUGGGUCUUAUCAUUGUGUGUUGUUGGAUUGUUGUUUUCUGAACCUGUGUUUUGUCCCUUGUUCAGUCCUCCUGCUGCCCGUGUCUCCAAAAGAAACCUAUGCACUGAAAAGAUAUUUGCAGAGGCCUGUAGCUGAUGCAGAAGGACCUUCACUCACAUCUUCACCAGCUGCUGAAGAAUUUGAAGGAACCAGCAGACCGUUACACAUCCUGAGGACACUGCAUCUUCUGUAACACACCAGAUUUUUGUGAGUCCAUCAAAGCAGCCUGUUGAUGACAUCAUUCUGACACAGUGAGGACUGUUUGUCAGCAGAGGACCUAUCAGUUUAUUUUAUUUAGCAGUAUCUGCAAGAGGAUUCUCUACUAAUAUAUUAUUCAGAAAAACAAGCUGUGCAAGUGUUCAGCAGAGUUGAGAAACAAACCAUCAGGGGAGCAUCAGCACACUCAGGUAAACAAGUUUGGUGACAAACAUCUGAGAGACGAGGAACUCAGGAUGAGAUCUGAAAACAUCUUCUGGAGCUUCAUGGUGCUGCUGGCAGGU